UACACAUUUACAAAUUCACAUUUGAUUAAAAAAAAAAAAAGAAAAGAAAAAAUUGAAAAACUUCGACCCAUAAUUCAGAUUCGGGGUGACAUGUAUUGAUUGUUUGUUUCGAUUGAUCGAUCGAUUGAUUGUUUAGUUAUUUGUUUGAUUUGAUUGGUCGCAAGUAGAAAGAAGAAAGCAAUAGCAAUGCUAAAAAUAUCACGUUAAGAAGGGGUACCUCUCGCGAAAAUUUGCUUGGCAAAACUUGUUUGUCCGUCGUCGUCGUCGUCAUCGUCAUCGUAGUAGCUCGCGAGACGCGUGCGAGAAGCUCCGAUUGGUUGAAGAAAAAAAACAUAGGAGAGGGGGAAAAGAGACAUGUUGAGACAGCAGAGAGAGGGAACCAUCUGACCAACCCCCACCAAGUUUUGUGUGCGCCGCACGCUCUUCAAAUAAUCCGCUGUCCCCUCCCUCUCACCCUUCUUUCCUCUCAUUGGUUAGUUAGAGUGGUGUCUCUCGCGUUCGGCAGUUGUCGUCGCGCUUCCGUGAACGAUUCGUUGAAUUAGUAGUAGUAGUAGUAUUUAAUUCGUUGCUAACAUAAUCGUUUCUCUCUCUCUCUCUCUCUCUCUCUCUGUCUCUCUUUUUUUUUCUCUCUUUUGAAAAUCAUUUUAAUUGCGAAUAGAGUGAACUAGUUGUAGUUGAGACUCUAAAUUUAGCGCUGACCGGUGGUGUGUCUUGUCAUUUCAUCGUCAUAUAUUACUAAAGAA